rnacentral:rRNA from 1 species
GACGAACGCUGGCGGCGUGCUUAACACAUGCAAGUCGAACGUGAUUUUUGUGGAAAUUCUUUCGGGAAUGGACAUGAAAUGAAAGUGGCGAACGGGUGAGUAACACGUGAGCAACCUACCUUACACAGGGGGAUAGCCGUUGGAAACGACGAUUAAUACCGCAUGAGACCACAGAAUCGCAUGAUAUAGGGGUCAAAGAUUUAUCGGUGUAAGAAGGGCUCGCGUCUGAUUAGCUAGUUGGAAGGGUAAAGGCCUACCAAGGCGACGAUCAGUAGCCGGUCUGAGAGGAUGAACGGCCACAUUGGAACUGAGACACGGUCCAAACUCCUACGGGAGGCAGCAGUGGGGAAUAUUGCACAAUGGGGGGAACCCUGAUGCAGCGACGCCGCGUGAGCGAAGAAGGUUUUCGAAUCGUAAAGCUCUGUCCUAUGAGAAGAUAAUGACGGUAUCAUAGGAGGAAGCCCCGGCUAAAUACUUG